CUACGAACUCAGAAAUCCGCCUGCCUCUGCCUUCCGAGUGCUGGGAUUAAAGGCGUGUGCCACCACGCCCAGCAGGAAUUUCAUUCUUAAAUAUGUGUUUGAGGUCCUUCUGUUUGCUCCUGCUAACUCAAGGGGCACCCGGCAAGAUUUACAAAAUUGCCUAACAGGUUGGGCACCGGGCUCAAACAGUUAAGUUGUAAUUGCUGAAGUGUGAGUCACCACACAGAAGAAUGCAGCCAUUGUGAGCCAACAGCUUCUGGGGAGACUGAGGAAGGGGUAGAGUCUUGGAGAGCGUUUCAUAGAAAAAGCCUCACAGGAUUUUGUCCUGGCUCUACACGUUGGCCUUAUUUAUGUUAUUGUUAUUAUUUGGUGGGGAAGACUGGACAUGAACCCACAUCUAACACAACCUAAGCAAGCUCUCUGCCACUGAGUUGUCGAUCUAGCAGUGAGAAAAUCCUGUCUAAUAAACUACACUUGUUUAUUAUAAGAUGGCGGUAAGGAAGAUUUCGGCAUGGAAAUAAUUUCUGCAUGAAUUAUUGGAAAGAAAAAUGGCUUCUUAUGAGGCAGUGUUGUGUGAGUCCAGGCUGCAUAAUGCACCCACUCAGGAUACUUUGAAUAACAACAGUGGUUGAGCCUAAGCCUUCUAUUGAGACUCAACUAGCCUGGGUCGAUCUAGCUGUCUGUUAACUUGUUCUGAGGAAAGCUCUCAUAACUGCCCAGGCUGUCCUUUGUCUCACCAGCAGCCCAGGUAAGCUUUGGACUUGAAUCCUCCUUCCUCGGUCCCUGGAGCAACUUUGACUAUUACUAGGCCCAGGUUUGGUCCUAAAGAGCCAUACAAAAUUCCACUUCCUACCCUGGAGUUAAAGUACACAAAAAUUUUCUGGCAAAAAGUCCUUUAAAUAAAAUAGGCCACCACCCAACUAUCAUUAUAUUAUGGGUUUAUUUUUUUUCCUUCUCAUAUGAGAAAUACCAACCGAUUGCAAAGAAGCUAAAGUAAAACCUUAAAAGCAAGUCAAAAUAGACUUUGUUUUCCUUUUAGUUGACAAAUAAUUGUAUGUAUCUGUAUGGGACCGUGUGCAGCUAGGACACCUCUAUACACUGUGGAACGCUGAAGUGAUAACCAUCAACCCACCUGCAACCUCAAUGCUUAUUGUUCCUGAUGAAAGCCUUUAAAAUCUCUGGCUGACUUAAAAUGCACAGUGGGUUGUUAUUAACUAUUGCCCUCAUGUCUUGCAACAAAACAUUACAAUCUAUUUCUCCUGGCUGACACUUGCUACUCUCUAACAAUUCUUUUCAGCACAAAGCAAUUAACAGAGUCAUUUGCUGCCCGCCCAUUCAACUUUUCCUCCUGGGUAAACAUGUUACAAAAAGCCACUAUCAGCACCUGUAGUUCUGGAAUCUGCAAGGACAUCAGGUCAUUUACAUCUCUGUCUCACUUUGUUUCGGGUACUAGGUAGAUUUCAUUAACCAAAGGAGCCCUGCUUCAUUCUGGUCCCUUAUGGCUUGUAUGUGCUGAUGCUGGAGUCAGCGUCAUUGCUACCACAUAGGUCUCUACAUACUGUUCUUUAACUGGAUAGGAGGGGUGGCGAGCUGGUAACCAUACUCCAUCAAUUCCAUCAGGCCUAUUAUGUACCCAUAAUAGGUCAAGCAGUGAGAAAAUCCUGUCUAAUAAACUACACUUGUUUGUUAUAAGAUGGCAGUAAAGAAGAUUUCUGCAUGGAAAUAAUUUCUGCAUGGAUCAUUGGAAAGAAAAAAUUGGCUGGCUUCUUAUGAGGCAGUAUUGUGAGUCCAGGCUGCAUAAUGCACCCACUCAGGAUAUUUUGAAUAACAACAGUGGUUGAGCCUAAGCCUGCUAUUGAGACUCAACUAGCCUGGGUAAUUCCCUCACCAGCAUGUUUGCUUGGUUCUUCGUUUUUCUCCUGUGAUGCUGAGGAUCAGAUCCAGGGCCUCGUGGAUUCUAGGCUCAGCUCUUUGCUGUUUCUGCACCUGGAUGCUCUCUGCAACACAUCUUCUAUCUCUUGGGCUCUACUAAGGCUGACUACACUGGAAGUUGACUGUUCUUUGUGUAGUGAGCACACCACACUCUGCUCCUGGCAAAAGCCCAGGAGUCAGUACAAAAACUACUUGGAGGAGGCGUUGUUGGAGCUUAAGCUAUAUCGUGAGGACCUACUGCUUGGAAGAUGAGAGUGCUCCUAUUAGUGAUACAUCAACAUUAGAUGUAGUGUGUGGUAGAAAUUCUCCUCCUCAAUAAUGUUGAAGACUGUCCACUGUGGUCUGCAGUGCUUGUGAGUGGGUUUCCUGGGGUGGGUCUAGGGUCAUCUGAACUAGUCAUGGCCAAAUCAGAACCUCCUGAGACAAAGCAUGGAGGUGGCCAUGACAGUUGGUGAUUUCCACCACCAGAAAGGAGUCUUUAAAGAGAAAGAGUAGCUCUAAGACUUCCUUGGACAGCCUAGAGGGUCUUUUUAAACAGUCCACAGCUGUGACUGUCCUGAUGGCAGCUUGUGGAACAGCUGAAGGGGAUGGCUGCUUGAUUGACAACUCCCGUGGUCUCUGUGAGAACACUGCUGCUGAAACCGAGAUUGCAUCCUCUGUGAGUCCUCCAGGAGUGGCCGGAUAUUGUUCACGGUCUUGGUGGACUCAAGAACCACAAAGAUGAUGACAGCAGCUCCGUCAGCUUUUGUCUCUGUCUGUCCCGAGGUAGUUACUAAGAUUCAUCCCAGGACACUGCUGUUGUGGCCA